UACGUAGGUGGCAAGCGUUAUCCGGAUUUACUGGGUGUAAAGGGCGUGUAGGCGGGUCUGCAAGUCAGAUGUGAAAUUCCAGGGCUCAACCCUGGACCUGCAUUUGAAACUGUAGAUCUUGAGUGAUGGAGAGGCAGGCGGAAUUCCGUGUGUAGCGGUGAAAUGCGUAGAUAUACGGAGGAACACCAGUGGCGAAGGCGGCCUGCUGGACAUUAACUGACGCUGAGGCGCGAAAGCGUGGGGAGCAAACAGG
rnacentral:rRNA from 1 species